AAGGGAGACCUAAUUCAGGUAUAAGACGAAAAAAAAGUAGUCGCUACCAAGAAUCAAUCCCAAAAGGUCGGAGCGAGGCGAAAUUGGCUUUCAAACUAGGUUCUGGGUUCAAACAAGACCUGAAUCAGGAACAAGGGCUAUUAGCUCAGGUGGUUAGAGCGCACCCCUGAUAAGGGUGAGGUCCCUGGUUCGAGUCCAGGAUGGCCCACCUGCACAGGUGGCAAAAACAAGAGAAGCUCCGAAUCAGCACCUUAUCUUACUUACAUAGUAAGAGAGAAUGCUGGCUCUGAGUAAAGAGUCCAGAGGAACCUUGAAAACUGCAUAGAGCUAGGUGAAAAAGCCAAAAAAGAAGACCGCAA
rnacentral:tRNA from 1 species